CCUGGAACGAAUUGCAAAAAUUGCUGAAGCUGGAGACUUAUAUUUCCCUCACUAACUUUAAACAUCAGCUAUCUGAGCAGCUAACCGAUCGCUGCAGCUGUACAUAGUCCAUCUGUAAAUAGCCCACCCAAUCCACAGACUACAAAUGUCGGUGAUGUUUGUGUCCAGUAUGAAGGAAGUUAAAGUUAGUUGUUGGUGACCUGCAGCGAUACAGACGAAGAGUACCUGCUGUCCCGAAGGCUUCUGCCCUACGACCUUGGCUACGGUGCUAACAGUCAGAGUGAAGCAGAGACAGAUCAGACUCCAGAUCAUGUUGUAGUUGAGGGAAGCAGCACAACGGACAAAGAACCGACCAGAUUCUCCACAGAGGAGUUUCCCGUUUCAACUACCGACAAGCGUGUCCUUUACAGGAUCUAUAAAGAGGAAACCAACGAGCAGAGAACAAUCCUCAGAAUCGUAAAUGCUCUUACCACUCUGGAGGACUUCAAGAGACUAUCCCUUUGGUGUCUGAGGGUGUGAGUACAAUUCUAAUACAUGUGAUGUCUUGCUCAACAUGUGGCAGUAACUUACAGUAACUGGUAACACUAGUAUUACUGUGUUGAUUUCACAAUUUGAUGCUCACUGUCUUCUAAUUAUCUACAGUCUAUACACCAGGUUAGCCCAGCUAGUAGCAGACGCCAGGUUAGCCCAGCUAGUAGCAGACGCCAGGUUAGCCCAGCUAGUAGCAGACGCCAGGUUAGCCCAUCUAGUAGCAGACGCCAGGUUAGCCCAGCUAGUAGCAGACGCCAG
rnacentral:lncRNA from 1 species